CUGCGGUCACGCACACAUAUUCUUACGUGAUAUCCCUUUUUUUUGCGUAGUGGUGGUGGUGGCGACCAAUGGCGACGGCGCAGAACGCAAACCCCGAGUGCGUCGGCCCCGAGAGUCCGCAGGCCGGCAUUGCGCCCUCGUGCCAGGGAUGCCCCAACGCCGCUAUCUGCGCAUCCGCACCCAAGGGCCCCGACCCUGACAUACCCCUGAUUCGCGAGCGUCUCACCGGGGUGAAGCACAAGGUCAUGGUCGUCAGCGGCAAAGGCGGCGUGGGGAAGAGCACCAUGACGAAGGAGUUGGCGUUUGCUCUCGGAGCACGCGGACUGUCUGUCGGGCUGAUGGACAUGGACAUCUGCGGGCCGUCGCUCCCUCGUCUGACUGGUGUGCGCGGCGAGGAUGCGCAUCAGAGCGCUGGCGGUAUCGAGCCCGUCCUGGUUGAUGAGAACGUGACGAUGAUGUCGAUGCACUACCUGUUGUCGAACAAGAACGAGGCGGUGCUGUUCCGCGGUCCUCGCAAGAACGGCGUCAUCAAGAUGUUCCUCAAGGACGUGAUAUGGGGUAAUCUGGAUGUCCUACUGAUUGAUACCCCACCAGGCACCUCCGACGAGCACAUUACCGUCAACUCGCUGCUGCAGCAGACGACGAACGGCGUAGACGGUGCCGUGCUCAUCACCACCCCGCAGCGCGUCGCGGAGGCGGACGUGCGUCGUGAGGUCAACUUCUGCCAGAAGGCGAAGCUGCCCAUCCUCGGCCUCGUGGAGAACAUGAGCGGCUUUGUGUGCCCCGGGUGCCACAAGGAGUCGCAGAUUUUUCCAAAGGAGGAGGGCAGGGAGGGCAGGAAGGAGGGUGCCGGUGUACGGCUUAGCCGCGAGUUUGACGUUCCCCUCUGGGGGGAGGUGCCGCUGGACCCGCUUCUCAUGAAGGCGUGCGAAGAGGGCAUCUCCUUCUCCGAGUACGUAGAGAAGAGCGGGAUGACGAGUAGUACCACGCUGGACGCUCUCUUCACCGUGGCCGACCAGCUGAUCGCCUCUCUAGGGAUUCAGGUGGACUGAGGGGCUCCAGAUCGAUGAACGAAACCGGUCCCUCGGACUUUCCGUCACUCCCUCUCCUGCGGGGGGGGGGCGGCAAAACUGUUGCGACUCUUCCAUUCCUCAGGCCAAAGCGCUACAGACACACACACACACACUUGAUCAAGCCCGAACGGCGCACAGCCAAGCGGAGCUGCAGAUGCGCGAUGCGGGAGUUUUGAGGCGUCGGCGCGUAUGCGCGUGUUUAGGCAGGGAAAGCGAGGAAGGGGAGGGAAGAGAUGAAGUGCGUUCUACGUUGCCGGUGAACAGUGACAUCGUUCUAUAGCUGGUGAUGAUGACAUGGCACCGCACAUGUUCUGUGACACUUCAUUUUUUCUUCUCCCUGAUGACUGGUGAAGGAGCGCGUGGCACACACACACCCCUCAGUGCGUGGCACCUCAGGGACCAGUGCACCCACUCUCUCUGUCUGGGAAAAGCCGGGCAGCCCCCUCCCCCAUGCCUUGCCAAGUGCCGAGCCGCUUCUGGUGGCGACGGGGUCAGGUACCUACGCCGCAGGGGGGAGGGUUCAGAGCGAUGUGUCGCUGCUGGUGCCGGCGGUGGCGUCCUGGAUGACGUUGCAUCGGAGUGGCCCGCGACAGCGAGGCAGAUCUGUAUCCAUCCACAUGAUGGGCAGAGCGUCAUCGUGACCCGAGCGUCUCCCACCCGGCCCGGCCCUCACACCGCCCACUGGUGUGGGUGGGGUGCCCGAGCGCCACCGCGAGGGGGAUGCGUCCGGUGGCGGCCGGCAUGGUGGGCGCGGCUGCGCGGCGCCCCGCGAAGCAUGGGCUGUGGGCGUGGGUGGGGGCCGUGCUCUCCGAUGGCUGGGCCAGCGCGUUGCUGUGGCGCGUGUGUGUCUACGGCUGCCAUCGGCCCACGCGAGGUUGGGCCUGUGACGGAGGAGGAGGUGUAGACAGGCGUUCGACCUCGUGUCGUGCGGCAGAGAAAUGAAUAUGUGAGGGAAGAAGGAAGUCUCUCAUCGUGUCUUCUGAUGCCCUGCCGUUGUGUAGCCAUUCAGCAAAGCAGAUACAGAAGCACAUACGCUCGCGGUCUCAUGGGAUGGCCUUCCGCUCUUUCCUGGCCAACGCCUAUUGCGUGUGGGGCACAUAUGAAGUCGUUCUCUCUACAGAGAGAAAAGCGGAUGGGGCGGAGGAGGCGCUCGCGUCCCUUUCCUUGUGCUUUGGGCUUCUCUCGAUGUGCAUGUGCGUCUUCAGCUGUUCUCCUCUCCGCCUCCUCGCCCGACGCGUGCGCACACACGUGCGUUUAUGCAAUCGCAUCGCUGGCGCACUUUAUUUUCCCUUGCCUUGCAG
rnacentral:misc_RNA from 1 species